UCAGAUUGAACGCUGGCGGCAUGCCUAACACAUGCAAGUCGAACGAGGGUAGCAAUACUCUAGUGGCGGACGGGUGAGGAAUACAUAGGAAUUUGCCCUUAAGUGGGGGAUAACCCGGGGAAAACCCGGAUUAAUACCGCAUGAUCUCGAGAGAGCAAAGCAGGGGACCGCAAGGCCUUGCGCUUUUGGAGAAGCCUAUGUCGGAUUAGCUUGUUGGUGAGGUAAUGGCUCACCAAGGCCGCGAUCCGUAACUGGUCUGAGAGGAUGAUCAGUCACACCGGAACUGAGACACGGUCCGGACUCCUACGGGAGGCAGCAGUGGGGAAUAUUGGACAAUGGGCGAAAGCCUGAUCCAGCAAUGCCGCGUGUGUGAAGAAGGCCUUCGGGUUGUAAAGCACUUUAGGCUGGAAAGAAAAAACUUUUCCUAAUACGAGAAGUCUUGACGGUACCAGCAGAAUAAGCACCGGCUAACUCUGUG
rnacentral:rRNA from 1 species